rnacentral:rRNA from 1 species
ACGGUCCUAAGGUAGCGAAAUUCCUUGUCGGGUAAGUUCCGACCUGCACGAAUGGCAUAACGAUGGCCACACUGUCUCCUCCUGAGACUCAGUGAAGUUGAAGUGUUUGUGAUGAUGCAAUCUCCCCGCGGCUAGACGGAAAGACCCCAUGAACCUUUACUGUAGCUUUGCAUUGGACUUUGAACCGAUCUGUGUAGGAUAGGCGGGAGCCUGUGAAACCAAAACGCCAGUUGUGGCGGAGGCGUCCUUGAAAUACCGCCCUGAUUUGUUUGAGGUUCUAACCUGGGACAGUCAUCCUGUCCGGGGACCGUGCAUGGUAGGCAGUUUGACUGGGGCGGUCUCCUCCUAAAGGGUAACGGAGGAGUGCGAAGGUACGCUAGGUACGGUCGGAAAUCGUGCUGAUAGUGCAAUGGCAAAAGCGUGCUUGACUGCGAGACCCACAAGUCGAGCAGAUACGAAAGUAGGUCAUAGUGAUCCGGUGGCUCUGUAUGGAAGGGCCAUCGCUCAACGGAUAAAAGGUACUCUGGGGAUAACAGGCUGAUACCGCCCAAGAGUUCAUAUCGACGGCGGUGUUUGGCACCUCGAUGUCGGCUCAUCUCAUCCUGGGGCUGUAGCCGGUCCCAAGGGUAUGGCUGUUCGCCAUUUAAAGAGGUACGUGAGCUGGGUUUAAAACGUCGUGAGACAGUUUGGUCCCUAUCUGCCGUGGGCGCUGGAAGAUUGACGGGGGCUGCUCCUAGUACGAGAGGACCGGAGUGGACUCACCUCUGGUGUACCGGUUGUCACGCCAGUGGCAUCGCCGGGUAGCUAUGUGGGGAAGAGAUAACCGCUGAAAGCAUCUAAGCGGGAAACUUGCCUGAAGAUAAGUCUUCCUGGAGGCUAGACCUCCCUAAAGAGUCGUUCGAGACCAGGACGUUGAUAGGAUGGGUGUGUAAGUGCUGUGAGGCACUCAGCUAACCAUUACUAAUUGCUCGUGAAGCUUGAUCCU